AACGAACGCCGGCGGCAUGCCUAACACAUGCAAGUCGAACGAGAUCUUCGGGUCUAGUGGCGCACGGGUGCGUAACGCGUGGGAAUCUGCCCUUUGGUUCGGAAUAACAGUUGGAAACGACUGCUAAUACCGGAUGAUGACGAAAGUCCAAAGAUUUAUCGCCAGAGGAUGAGCCCGCGUAGGAUUAGCUAGUUGGUGUGGUAAAGGCGCACCAAGGCGACGAUCCUUAGCUGGUCUGAGAGGAUGAUCAGCCACACUGGGACUGAGACACAGCCCAGACUCCUACGGGAGGCAGCAGUGGGGAAUAUUGGACAAUGGGCGAAAGCCUGAUCCAGCAAUGCCGCGUGAGUGAUGAAGGCCUUAGGGUUGUAAAGCUCUUUUACCCGGGAUGAUAAUGACAGUACCGGGAGAAUAAGCUCCGGCUAACUCCGUGCCAGCCGCCGCAGUAA
rnacentral:rRNA from 1 species